GACGAACGCUGGCGGCGUGCCUAACACAUGCAAGUCGAGCGAGUGAAUCUCCUUCGGGAGUGAAGCUAGCGGCGGACGGGCGAGUAACACGUGGGCAACCUGCCUCAUAGAGGGGAAUAGCCUUUCGAAAGGAAGAUUAAUACAGCAUAAGAUUGUAGCUUCGCAUGAAGUAGCAAUUAAAGGAGCAAUCCGCUAUGAGAUGGGCCCGCGGCGCAUUAGCUAGUUGGUGAGGUAACGGCCCACCAAGGCGACGAUGAGUAGCCGACCUGAGAGGUUGGUCGGCCACAUUGGGACUGAGACACGGCCCAGAGUCCUACGGGAGGCAGCAGUGGGGAAUAUUGCACAAUGGGGGAAACCCUGAUGCAGCAACGCCGCGUGGGGGAUGACGGCCUUCGGGUUGUAAAGCUCUGUCUUCAGGGACGAUAAUGACGGUACCUGAGGAGGAAGCCACGGCUAACUACGUGCCAGCCGCCGCCGUAA
rnacentral:rRNA from 1 species